rnacentral:piRNA from 1 species
UGAUUAAUCUGGUUUGCUGCAGCACUU